GAAAGUGAUCACACUAAGCAGCUGAUUCUAAAGAGCUGCUGACAAAUCUUGAAGAAAGAUACACAUGAGAAGAAAGUUACAGAGACGAGAGCAGAGCUGGACUCAGAGGAAGAGAGUGGUGGGGAGAGAAGGAGGAAGACCAUGCCAACACCCAAAAGACAGCAUAUUUCUCUCCAGGAGACUGAGACCAAUUUGACAGAUCCAAUUGUGUGUAUAGUUGAAUCUUUUGAACAAAACCAUAAUAAUCCUCACUAUGAUUAGAAACAUGAGAACUAAGAUAAAUACCACAUUGAUAAAUUAUGCUGAGUCUAUUGUGUGUGUGUGUGUGUGUGUGUGUG
rnacentral:lncRNA from 1 species